UAGGCAUGUGAAGGUAUUACGGUGCAAUAAAUGAUUCUAUGGUGGUUAUAUAUUCCUCCCCCCUCUCUUAGGUGGGUCUGCAAUACAAAUGAAACACAAAUUUCUGCAUAACUCGAGAAUUAAUCAAGAAAAUGAAACCAAAUCUGGCAUGUGGAAUUUUAGGGUGCAAUAAAUGUUUUUACGGUGGUUAAAUACUCCACCCCCUCCCCCCUCUCUAAGGGGGAGCUGCUAUACAAAUGAAAGACAAAUUUCUGCAUAAUUCGAAAACUAAUCAAGCAAAUGGAGCUAAAUUUGUCAUGCGAAUGUUUUAAGGGACACGAAACGUUUCCAUGGUGAAUAGACACUCCUCCCCUCUCUUUGAGGGGGGGGGGGGGUCUGCCAUACAAAUGAAACUGCAUUACUCGAGAAUGAAUGAAGCAAAUGGAACCGAGUUUUGCAUGUGGAGGAUUUGGGUUGCAAUAAAUGAUUCUAUGGUGGUUAGAUACUCCUCCCUCUCUUCGGUGAGGCUGCCAUACAAAUGAAACACAAAUUUAUGCAUAACUCGGAAUUAAUCAAGCAAAUGAAACCAAAUUUGGCAUGUGGAAGUUUUCGUUUCUACAGAGGUUAGACACUCCACCCCCUUCUCUGAGGGGGAGCUGUCAUACAAAAUUCAACGAGGUCGAUUAGAAGAUCAAUCAACGAACAGUUCUGCGAUUGGAUCCAUGAACUUGCUCUUAGUAGGAAAACGUGAAUGUUUGAGGGUAUUGAUAACAAAAAAACAAAUUUUGGGCGGGACGAAGUUUGCCGGGUCAGCUAGUGUGAAUAUAACAUUAUUGGGCUAAUUGCCGAGCUGUUAAUUGAGUUGAACGGCUCUACUUCUCGAUAUUGAUUUCUUCAUACAAGAAGGUCAAAUUAACCCAGAUUCAGGCAGGACAGGUAAGUAAAAUUUUUGAAAAUCAUUUCAAUUUAUAUAUUUUUGAUACAUAUUGGACAGCCAAGCAAUGACCCGUGUUCGUCUGCUGCGGGAGAAUGCGAAGACAUUACUAUGCUGUCGGUUUAGUGCAACUUCAUAAACGAUCUGCCGACGAUUGUGAUCGGUCAAUUGGAUGUGUUCCGGAUUCGCCAAGACGGAGGUUUCGGGGUGUUCUUCUAGGAGAGAUUAAGCGUGGAAACACACUAGACGGCUCACCCGCGCGAUUUUCGCAAUGACAAGUCGCAGCAGGAACUUGAAGUAAAACACAUUAAGCGGCUCUCGGCUUAUUAUAUUUUAGACGGAUGCAAGACGAGUCUAUGAUACAAGGUACAACUGUUUGGAUAGUAAGCGGAUGAGAGAUGCGGUAUAUAAAGACAGAAUGGUGGAAAACGGAAGAGGGGAUGUUUACCUGAGCAAGAGGGAGAGAGAAGUUGAUCACAAACGUCUAAAAUAUUGCAUUUCUCGACAAUUUGGAUGGAAUUCGAGUAUCCGCAGCUACAUGACCACAGAAUGAUUUUCACGUAUUGGCUCACCUGAGAGUACAUUUCUUAUUGCCUUGCUUUAUUUACACCUAUCAAAAGCGCAUAAACACUAAUACUCCCACAAAACCGUUGCGGCGCAUCAUCUCCAUCGACCCACCGCAGCGUAUGAGGAACCUUACAACAGUGAUAUUGGAACCGCACACACCCGCCCCGCCUUAUGUGUUUUAUCUCAUUCACAUUUCAUUAUCGAGGCCCCGCGGCGAUCUGUCAUUGCAAAAUCCGCGCGGGAGAGCCGUCCAGUGUGUUCUUACGCUAAAAGUAAGAAUUGAGUAGUUCAUCGUAACAGUUUGUAGUAAUGAUUGUGUACUUUUUCCUAAUGUGUAGCCGCGAAUCAGACCCAAUCGAUGCAGGAUCAGAUGUCGGGCGCUGCAGUAUAAUGAAUGCGUUGGCUGAUGUCGAACCAGAACUACUGGCUCAUGAAUGCUGUAAAUAUCGUAUUUAAGAUAGAUAAAUGAAUAAUGAAUAAAGAUACAAUAGCACAAUAAUCACUAAAUAAAUUGGUAACAAUACAUACCUAUAGGUUGGGUGAGCAUAACCUGUUUAGGGAAUAUGUUGAACCAACGUUGAAUCGACGGCUUAUACUGGGUUAUACUGGCCGAUUUGACGAUUUGUUUAUCAUUGUUAUCGCGUAAUAUGUACGAAUAAUUCGUAUUGCAAAAAAAUACUAAUCAUUGGUAAUAUUUACCAAACAUUCGUCAUAUAUACUAAUUUCUCGGGAGAGUGUAGUGAUCCCCGAUUUUUGAAAUUAAUCGUUCAUCCACUAAUCGAAUACUUUUCAGCCGUUUGUUACCCACAAUCCAAUCGACGAAAAAAUCAUCGACCUAACACCGACCGUAACGCUGGAGCCUAUUCGGUACGAUGUUGACAUCUGGAUACGCCAUUAGUUUGUAUGAGGGAACCUAUUCUCUAUCAGAUUAGUCGGCCCGAAGGCAGUUUUAAAUUGGUAGAAUUUGUAUGAAAAUUGUUUCUUGGCUUUAUUUAUCUACUUGAAGUACGUUUUCCUGACCUUAGUUUAAAUUAUUUUCUAUAAAUUUUCAGAUAUUCUCACAAAAACUUACCUUUAUAAUAUAAAAUUAUCUUUAGGCAUAAUUUUUGUAUGACGUUUUUUCAUCACUUGCAUGCAAUAGUGAUUUUCAUUUACAUUGAGUACUAAUUUCAUUUGAGAAAAAUAAUGUUCAUUCAUAAUUUUUAUUUUAAAAGUGUGUUUAUUCCUUUUGAAAAUCCAUACUGUCAUGCCUAUUCCCCAAAUACGUAACAUCGAAAAUUCGUUGGUCGAAAAUACAGAAUGAUUAACAAAACGAAUCGGCAUCACUUUUUCUUCAACGAUGAACUGUCAUCUCACACCAAAACAACCGGAUCAUAUAACUGGUGAGUAUGAAAUCUUUUUCUGUUUUUCAUUUUAUAUUUUUUUUCAGACCCAUCUCAACAGAUUUUCCUCUAGUGGAGUUUGUGGAAUAGAUAGGUUUUUACUUUAUGAAUCUGGAAGAUUGCUACCGGCGGCAUUCCUGAACCCAAUUGGGUCCAACACGGAAGCUAAACUAGUUCAUAUGCAUCCGGACAACGUUGCCCAGAAGCAGGCACAACAAGCAAUGAAUUUCGAUACGGAACAACUGAGCAGAUGCAUAUCAGUGAAAGUUUAUUCCGUUCUGAGACAUUUCUACCAACGAAGUAAGGACACGAACGGUAUUGAAUUGAAUGAUGCUAAGCCAGAUCAACAGUGUGGGGAGACUGACGGUGUAGAUUCACCACAGGUGGAAAUUAAUCACAAACGCAAGAUGUGACAUUAUCAGAUUCUCCCAAAGUGGUUUCUUACCAGCUAUGAAUACACCCGUUCGGAUGAUGUGGCUUUUUUGCUUCCAUCAACUGCAGUCAACAGCAUCGGCUUUCCCGUAGCAGUAUCCUGCAAGCCAUGGUGGCUGUACCAGGGGACAACAUUAACAGCAGCAGCAUCUGGACCUGACCAUCGAUAGUGUUUCGAGCAACUUUCCAUAUCGGAGAUCUCGUGCUUCGCGCACAUUGAAGAAACCUCCUCAGCCACAUAUGUGUGUCAAGGAGAAAAAGGAGCUGGAUUCGAAUCGUCAAUCCAGACAACCCGAAUGCACCGAUUGCAUUAUAUAUCUUGUUUAUAUUUUAUAUGCAUUUUGUGUUUUUUUGAAUAAAAUGAUUAAAAUCGA